UAGAGGGGUCAGGGUUCAGAACCCCUCCCCGAACCCAGGGUAACUCUCAAAGUGGAGGGGAA
rfam:Rattus norvegicus chromosome 7, whole genome shotgun sequence.